rfam:Picea glauca, whole genome shotgun sequence.
AGGUGUAAUCAUACCAUCAUUAAUGCACCAGUUCCCAUCAAAACUGCACAGUUAAGCGCGCUUGGGCUAGAGUAGUACUAGGAUGGGUGACCUCCUAGGAAGUCUUAGUGUUCCACCCU